rnacentral:rRNA from 1 species
CGUUCCGGGCCUUGUACACACCGCCCGUCACACCAUGGGGAGUUGGUUUUACCUGAAGACGGUGCGCUAACCGAAAGGGGGCGAGCCGGCCACGGGUAGGGUCGAGCGACUGGGGUG